UGUUAUUCGAGAGCUAUCGUUAUCUCCUGUUCCUGCAUCGUGUUGCACUGCUUUACUGGAAGCUCAUAGAAUUGAUCGCAAGGAGGCUCGAGUAAAUGCCAUGCGUGCUGCAAUCUUGGAUACAUUUCCUGAACCAAAUAGGCGUUUGCUACAGUGAAUUCUCAAGAUGAUGCACUAUUUCUUCACAUUCAUUUGAAAAUUGGAUGACACCAUCAGCGGUUGCCGCUUGUAUGGCACCAUUACUCCUACGCCCCUUCUUAGCUGGUGAAUGCGAAUCAGAGGAUGAAUUUGAUAAUAAUGGCGACAAUUCUGCACAGCUUCUUGCUGCUCCAAAUGCUGCUAAUAACGCUCAAGCUAUUGUCACAGGUCUACUUGAGGAGUUUGAGACAAUCUUUGAUGAUUAUGCUAUGCUCAAAUGUUGUACAUCGGCAGAUUCUAGGAUAGACAAUAGUGGGAU